rnacentral:pre_miRNA from 1 species
AGGGGGGGAGGGGGGUCCCACAGCCUGGAUUGCAAGAGAGCGCAAGCCAGGCUGAGGGACCCCACAGGUGCACG